AAAUCGGGAUUCAGGAUAAUCCAGGGAUGUGGGGAUGGGGAAUCAGCCCCUGGGAAUGUGGAGGCUUGGGAGCUGCGAGGGAUCCAUGGAAAUCAAUCAGGAGAGGAAAAGCGGGAAGCGGGAGAGGAAAAACGGGAAGUGGGAUCCCUGGGGAUCCAUGGGGAUCCAUGGGAUCCAUGGGGAUCCAUGGGGCAGGAAAAGCGGAUGCAGGAGCAGCCGAGGAUGCUGGGAUGGGAACGGAGAUUCCCGAGGAGGCCCCGGAUCCCAGCCCGGCCUGGCCGCUUUUAUCCCGGGAUAUUUUUAUCCCUGGCACCGGAGCUGCUGCCUGGGGGAGACGGGGAUGGAUCCGCCCGGGAUCAUCCAGGGACCGUCCCAGGGAUCCGGAUCCAUCCAGGGACCGUCCCAGGGAUCCAGACCCACCCUGGGGUUAUCCCAUGGAUCCGGAUCCAUCCAGGGACCAUCCCAGGGAUCCAGAUCCAUCCCAGGGAUCACCCCAAGGACCUGGAUCCAUCUCAGGAUUAUCCUGGGAUCCUCUCAGGGACCUGGAUCCAUCCCAGGGACCAUCCCAUGGAUCUGGAUCCACCCCAAGAUCAUCCCAAGGAUCUGGAUCCAUCCAGGGAUCAUCCUGAGCCCUUCCUGUGGAUCUGGAUCCACCCUGGGACCAUCCCAGGGAUGUGGAUCGGGAUCUGCUCUGGGAUCGUCCCAUGGAUCCAGAUCCAUCCUGGGAUCCUCUCAGGGAUCCAGAUCCAUCCCAGGGAUCAUCCCAGGGACCAUCCCAUGGAUUCAAAUCCACCCCAAGAUCAUCCCAUGGAUCCAGAUCCAUCUCAGGAUCAUCCUGAGCCCUUCCCAUGGAUCCAGAUCCAUCCAGGGAUCCUUUCAGGGAUCCAGAUCUAUCUUGGGAUCAUCCCAAGGAUCCGGAUCCAUCCAAGGAUCAUCCCAGGGAUGUGGAUCCAGAUCUGCUCUGGGAUCAUCCCAUGGAUCCGGAUCCAUCCUGAGACCAUCCCACAGAUCCGGAUCCAUCCCGGGAUCAUCCAGGUACCAUCCCAUGGAUCCAGAUCCAUCCUGGGAUCCUCUCAGGGAUCCGGAUCCAUCCCAGGGACCAUCCCAGGGACUAUCCCAUGGAUUCAGAUCCAUCUCAGGAUCAUCCUGAGCCCUUCCCAUGGAUCGAGAUCUGCCCUGGGAUCAUCCCAUGGACCCAAAUCCAUCCUGGGAUCCUCUCAGGGAUCCAGAUCCAUCCUGGGAUCAUCCCAGGGACCAUCCCAGGGAACCAGAUCCACCCUGGGAUCAUUCCAGGGAUCCAGAUCCAUCCCAGGGAUUAUCCCAAGGAUCUGGAUCCAUCCCAGGAUCAUCCCAUGGAUCCAGAUCCAUCUCAGAAUCAUCCUGAGCCCUUCCCAUGGAUCUGGAUCCACCCUGGGAUCAUGGAUCCAGAUCUGCCCCAGGAUCAUCCCAGGGAUCCAGAUCCAUCCCAGGAUCAUCCCAUGGAUCUGGAUUGAUCCCACUUGGAUUGGAUCAGGGAUUGGGAACAGUGGGGGGAAAUUCCAGGAUCCAUCCCAGCAGGGAAUCUGGGAUCCCUUCCAGCAGGAAAUCCAGGAUCCAUGGGAUUCAACCCAGUGGGAUUCGCCAGGAAUCGGCCCCGCCCUGCUGCUAAUCCCAGGAAUAAAUAACCGGGAAUAAAUAAAUAAUAAUCUUCCCCAAAAUCCCCUUUACCUUCCCCAAAUUCCCCUUCAUUCAGCCCCAAAAAUUUCCCUUUCUUUUUCCCCAAAAUUCCCUUCAUUUUCCCCAAAAUUCCCUUAAUUUUUCCUUUUCAUUAGACCCCAACAUUUCUUUAAUUUACCAAAUAAAAAUUCCUUUCAUUUGUCCCUAAAUCCCCUU
ensembl:lncRNA